rnacentral:rRNA from 1 species
CCAUAUCAAUAAGCGGAGGAAAAGAAACCAACCGGGAUUGCCUCAGUAACGGCGAGUGAAGCGGCAAGAGCUCAAAUUUGAAAUCUGGCCCCUUUGGGGUCCGAGUUGUAAUUUGCAGAGGAUGCUUCGGGUGCGGUCCCCGUCUAAGUGCCCUGGAACGGGCCGUCAUAGAGGGUGAGAAUCCCGUCUGGGAUGGGCGGCCGUGCCCGUGUGAAGCUCCUUCGACGAGUCGAGUUGUUUGGGAAUGCAGCUCUAAGUGGGUGGUAAAUUUCAUCUAAAGCUAAAUACUGGCCGGAGACCGAUAGCGCACAAGUAGAGUGAUCGAAAGAUGAAAAGCACUUUGAAAAGAGAGUUAAACAGCACGUGAAAUUGUUGAAAGGGAAGCGUUGUCCACCAGACUCGCCCGGGGGGGCUCAGCCGGCACGUGUGCCGGUGUACUCCUCUCCGGGCGGGCCAGCAUCGGUUUGGGCGGCUGGUGAAAGGCCCCGGGAAUGUAACACCCUCCGGGGUGCCUUAUAGCCCGGGGUGCCAUGCGGCCAGCCUGGACCGAGGCCCGCGCUUCGGCGAGGAUGCUGGCGUAAUGGUGGUCAACGGCCCGUCUUGAAACACGGACCAAGGAGUCUAACAUCUAUGCGAGUGUUCGGGUGUCAAACCCGUCCGCGCAGUGAAAGCGAACGGAGGUGGGAGCCUUUCGGGGCGCACCAUCGACCGAUCCUGAUGUCUUCGGAUGGAUUUGAGUAAGAGCAUAGCUGUUGGGACCCGAAAGAUGGUGAACUAUGCCUGAAUAGGGCGAAGCCAGAGGAAACUCUGGUGGAGGCUCGCAGCGGUUCUGACGUGCAAAUCGAUCGUCAAAUUUGGGUAUAGGGGCGAAAGACUAAUCGAACCAUCUGGUAGCUGGUUCCUG